CCCUUAGAUGUUCUGGGCCGCACGCGCGCUACACUGACGGAGGCAGCGAGCGUGUCCUUCGCCGGCAGGUGCGGGCAAUCUUGCGAGUCUCCGUCGUGCUGGGGAUAGAUGGUUGCAAUUGUCGAUCUUGAACGAGGAAUUCCUAGUAAGCGCGAGUCAUCAGCUCGCGCUGAUUACGUCCCUGCCCUUUGUGCACACCGCCCGUCGCUACUACAGAGUGCCCGUGUCCAAGAAACGGUCGGACCUGUGCGGCCUCUCCGGGCGACCGGAGGGCCGUUACGGGGAAGACCCUUUAUUUGACGCGGGUCGAUGAAGUAAAAGUCGUAACA
rnacentral:rRNA from 1 species